CUCGAGGAUCUUCUGACAGAACGGAGGUAGGGACCCUCCGGGGAUAGAAUCAUGAUCAGAUGGAGGACUCUCUGCCCUCUGCUUCCCCUUUUCGGGGAAGACAGGGUGACUGGCCUAAGUGGGUCGCCCGAUCGUCAGAUUCUGGAACUCCGACAAUACUCUUUCCAGCCGCACAGAUGCCUGCGACUGCUGCUACUGCAUGGCCUGCACUGCUUCGACGAGGCCCC
rnacentral:lncRNA from 1 species